rnacentral:tRNA from 1 species
GCGCCGCUAGCUCAGUUGGUAGAGCAGGGGCCUCUUAAGCCCAAGGUCCUGGGUUCAAUCCCCAGGCGGCGUACCA